rnacentral:rRNA from 1 species
UUGAUUACGUCCCUGCCCUUUGUACACACCGCCCGUCGCUGCCCGGGACUGAGCCGUUUCGAGAAAAGCGGAGACUGCUGUUUUGAAACCUUUCGAGGUGGAGAUUCUUUGGUGGAAACCGCUUUAAUCGCAGUGGCUUGAACCGGGCAAAAGUCGUAACAAGGUUUCCGUAGGUGAAUCUGCGGAAGGAUCAUUA